rnacentral:snRNA from 10 species
GCAACAUCAAAAAUCAAUGAUACAGAGAAAAUUAGCAUGGCUCCUGCGCAAGGAUGACAUGCAAAUUCAUGAAACGUUCCAUAUUUUU